GCAGAAUUGUAAUAUUACUUUGUAACAUUUAUCAUACAGUGAAUGAGGUUUGCAAGAAACUGGUACAUCAUUGAGGACAUUACGCACUUUUUUUUUUAUAUAUAGUAGGGUUGUAGCCCUGGUUGGGGAGUCGGUGCAUACUAGCGUAUUUAGAUUAUGUAUGUGAUGGUGAUCCUCUACCAGGUCGAUUUGAGGCAGUAUGUGUGGGCUAGCUAGAGUGAGUGGAUGCGGGGUUUUAACAUUCUGGGUGCUUGUUGAUAACGAGUGAGUGACGUGAGGGUGGUUGUAGAGUGUUGGUUUGUAGCUUUGUAGCUCAUGGGAGUUGGGUGUGAGGCAGUCGUUUGGGUAGCCAAAGUGGUGGAGUAGGUGGUGUCAGGAGGACUAUUUGGUUCCUCGGGGGGGAGAGAGGGGGUGGUACACCUCUGGUGGGUGUGCCUAAUGUGUAUGUACAUUCGAGACAGGGCUUAAACUAGGUAGGGCCUGGCCAUAUAAGGUAUGAGUACCAAAAGGGUAACAUGUUAGUAUUUUGGCAACAGAGAGAACUAAAGCGAAAAGUACAGAUACAGAACAUAGAUGAACUGUUGCAGAUUGCUUCCAAACGUGGAGCGGUGUCUUCUCCCUUAUCAGUCAGGUGGCUGGUGUGGGUCUUGGUGUGCUUCUUGGCACAAAUCGUAUUGCUGCUUCUGGGUCCCAGGCUUGGGUGAGAAGUGUAGUAGAGGUGGCCGGUGUGGUGUCUGUAAGACCCAGAGCCUGGAGCAGCACCUCUGCUUCAGAUUCCGCUGACAGCUUGUGAACAGUUCCGUUAUAGGAUACAAGAAGGGAUCUCGGCAUCCCCCAUCUGUAUGCUACUCCUGCUGAGCAUAGAUGGCUAGUGAGGGCUGCCAAUGAUUUCCGCCAUUGUAGCGUGGCCUUGGUAAGGUCCUGGUAGAACGGUAGAGGUCUUGGUGAUGGUAGGUAGGCGGUACAGUCCAGCCAUGGUGAACUUUUUGGCUAGGGCCGCAGGUUAUAGAGUGUCAGGUAUACCUAACAUUCAUGCUGCCGCCGGAACCCACUUCCGGGUUCACGGCGCUUAGGUCCGCCCCUUUUUUCUGACGCGGUCUUUCCACGAUACUUAGGAAGACCGCGCCAGAUUCAAAGGGCUGGAUUAUUCACUCAGGUGCGGCAGUGAGAUCAGCUGCUCUACUCGAUGCUACCGGCUCCA